AUUGAACGCUGGCGGCAUGCCUUACACAUGCAAGUCGAACGGCAGCACGGGUGCUUGCACCUGGUGGCGAGUGGCGAACGGGUGAGUAAUACAUCGGAACGUACCUUAUCGUGGGGGAUAACGCAGCGAAAGCUGUGCUAAUACCGCAUACGCCCUGAGGGGGAAAGCGGGGGAUCGCAAGACCUCGCGCGAUUAGAGCGGCCGAUGCCUGAUUAGCUUGUUGGUGGGGUAAAAGCCCACCAAGGCGACGAUCAGUAGCUGGUCUGAGAGGACGAUCAGCCACACUGGGACUGAGACACGGCCCAGACUCCUACGGGAGGCAGCAGUGGGGAAUUUUGGACAAUGGGGGCAACCCUGAUCCAGCAAUGCCGCGUGAGUGAAGAAGGCCUUCGGGUUGUAAAGCUCUUCUGUCAGGGAAGAAACACCGGCUCUAACACAGUCCGGGGAUGACGGUACCUGAAGAAUAAGCACCGGCUAACUACGUGCCAGCCGCCGCAGUAA
rnacentral:rRNA from 1 species